rnacentral:rRNA from 1 species
UACGGGAGGCAGCAGUGGGGAAUAUUGCACAAUGGGCGAAAGCCUGAUGCAGCUAUGCCGCGUGUAUGAAGAAGGCCUUAGGGUUGUAAAGUACUUUCAUCGGGGAGGAAAAACAAAACUAAUAAUUUAUUUCUUGACGUUACCCGAAAAAGAAGCACCGGCUAACUCCGUGCCAGCAGCCGCGGUAAUACGGAGGGUGCUAGCGUUAAUCAGAAUUACUGGGCGUAAAGAGCACGUAGGUGGUUUUUUUAAGUCAGAUGUGAAAUCCCUGGGCUUAACCUAGGAACUGCAUUUUGAAACUGAAAUACUAGAGUAUCGUAGAGGGAGGUAGAAUUCUAGGUGUAGCGGUGAAAUGCGUAGAUAUCUGGAGGAAUACCUGUGGCGAAAGCGGCCUCCUAAACGAAUACUGACACUGAGGGUGCGAAAGCGUGGGGAGCAAACAGGGAUUAGAUACC